rnacentral:rRNA from 1 species
UACAACGGAGAGUUUGAUCCUGGCUCAGGACGAACGCUGGCGGCGUGCUUAACACAUGCAAGUCUACGAGAAAAGAGUAGCAAUAUUCUGAGUAAAGUGGCGCAAGGGUGCGUAACUCGUAAGCAAUCUACCUUUAGAAGGGGAAUAACCCAGCGAAAGCCGGACUAAUACCCCAUAAUGCAGCGGAACCGCAUGGUUAUGUUGUUAAAGUCUAUAUGACGUCUAGAGAUGAGCUUGCGUCUGAUUAGCUAGUUGGUGAGGUAACGGCUCACCAAGGCUACGAUCAGUAGCUGGUCUGAGAGGAUGAUCAGC